GACGUAGGGCGCGAGCGUUGUCCGGAAUUAUUGGGCGUAAAGAGCUCGUAGGUGGCUUGUCACGUCGGGUGUGAAAGCUUGGGGCUUAACCUCCAGGGUCUGCAUUCGAUACGGGCUGGCUAGAGGUAGGUAGGGGAGAACGGAAAUUCCUGGUGUAGCGGUGAAAUGCGCAGAUAUCAGGAGGAACACCGGUGGCGAAGGCGGUUCUCUGGGCCUUACCUGACGCUGAGGAGCGAAAGCGUGGGAGCGAACAGG
rnacentral:rRNA from 1 species